UACAGAGGGUGCAAGCGUUGCUCGGAUUUACUGGGCGUAAAGCGUACGCAGACGGACCGCCAAGUCGGGGGUGAAAGCCCGAGGCUCAACCUCGGAACUGCCUUCGAUACUGCGGGUCUAGAGUCCGGAAGAGGAGAGUGGAAUUCCUGGUGUAGCGGUGAAAUGCGCAGAUAUCAGGAAGAACACCCGUGGCGAAGGCGGCUCUCUGGGACGGUACUGACGCUGAGACGCGAAAGCGUGGGGAGCGAACAGG
rnacentral:rRNA from 1 species